rnacentral:misc_RNA from 1 species
AAAAAACUCUCUAUGCAUAUAACGAAGUGCAAAAAGUACAACAAACUUUCAAAUAAAAUGCUCAACCACAUCUUACUGCGGUCACAAUGUAGAAAUGGUUAUUGAUCCUGAAAUACAUGCUAAAUCUAUUUUCCUAAAGCAGGAUUCAUAUCUAAUUCUGUCUUCUCUAGUUCAAACUAUACCCUCAAUUCUAUUAAAGUUUCUAUUGGUGAUCAGAAGCUUCAAACUGAAAAUUGAGCUCUGUCAUUAAUGAUAUAAGGAGAAUCCUUACCAACCCACAAAACAUACCAAAUUAUAAACUUAGAAGCAUCUGCAGGUCCACUUAACAGAACAUUACACUGCGGAGCUGUUCACUUCUACCAAGCUCAAUUGAUGGCCAAUACCAUUGCCCCAGCAAGAGUUCAUACUCAAAACAGCUAGCUAAUACACUCACAUUAAGUUCAACAGUAUAAUCCAUGAACACAAGAUAGAAGGAAGAAAUAAAAUAAAAUAAAAA